UUUGAGAAUUUUGCAACUUACAACUUCCAGCUGCUCCAGCCUCUGGGAUGUCUGAUGUCUGUCCCCUCACUCCCUUUCUUGGUUCCAUUUGGCUUCCCCGAUCACUGCACGUGCAGUAUGAAAACUGCCCUCUACGGAAAGCAUGCGUAGUCACAGGCUCAUGCAACCCUUUUCUCAAGGAUCACGGUCCGUGCUGGCUCAGGGCCUGAGAACAACAGUUUUUCUCAUGUUUUGUCCAGUUUUCAAGGUGUUGACUGCCGGAGGUCAAGUCCAGUCCUUGCUACUCUUCCACGGCCAAACUGUCCCUUUGGUUCUCAGUGGUGAUGACAACCGUGAUACUGGUCUUCCCAUGCUAUCUUUAGUCACGUGAACUAGCCAUUUGGGAUGCUUUUUGUCUGCACCGUCGCCAUUUCCUUGGAGUUCUCUAGUGUUUGCUUUCAUCACGGCCUUCAGAGUGCCUCUUAGCACCCUGGGCGCUCACCUGUCAGAGGGAGGCAUCCACACCUGACCCAACGGGAAGCUCCGGGUCUGAGCAGUGAAAAGAGGAUGGAGAUGUUGCUGUUUGGCACACGGACCCCCUCAACCCUCUUGCUUCGGAAGGAGCUCUGCCACCGCCCACCUUGGCCUGGAGAGAGAAGCCCGUGAACGGUGGGGGCCUGGGUGGGCUUAGAGAACUGGAGGGCUAUACUAGCUUGUAUAGAACUUUAAUUUAAUCCUGCUGCCUUCUGCACAGGUUUUUUUUUUUUUUCUUGUAAACCAUUUUUAUUGUAUUCUUUCUACUGUUACUUAUCCACCUUAUACCCUUUUCCACUUCCACCCUCAGUUCUGUUUUCUCUAUUCCUGUGUCUUUGCUGGGUUCUGUUGGGGGAAUUUGGUUGCUUCUCACAAAUACCUCUCGAACUCCCUUUGCAGGCACUGAAGUCUGACUGUCCUUCUCUCUGCUCAGUCUUACUCCUUUUUUGGAAUUCUGUCUGCAUAUGUUGUGGGUACAGACAUCUAUGAAUUCCCCAAUGACAGACGCGCAUGUCUGUUGCCUGUUCUCCUCGCUGCUUCUUGGUGGACUUUGGGAGGAGGAGUUUGGAUGAGUGCGUCUUUACUCGGCCUUCCUGGAAACAGAGGCGCUCAUGUUUUUAUAGCAGAAAACAUGUCUCACCACUACUACGAAUUCUUAUACUCCCUUUUUAAAAAAAUUAAGGCCUAGAUUUGGAGAUGAACUAAAUUUUAAUCGAAUUUGGGCUUUAACCUGGCUAACCAGAAGAAAUCAACUGUGUAGUGCAAGGGUCACAAACACACACCACCAAACAUCUGGAUAAAAUACAAGGUUAGCUAGCUCACAGGUGUUCUGCCUACAUGACCACAAACUAAACAUGUGGCAUGAGAGGUUUUCGUCUUUAGUUUUUACCAGGUGUUUUACAUCAGAAUAGACAUAGCCACGUAAUUAAAGCACCUUGAGUGGGGGAGCGCUGUGUUAAUAACCCGAGGCUGCUCUUCUCUACAUCCUGAAGGUGACCACAGAGAGGCCCAUCAUGGUCACUGCAUCUCUGGGUCACCCCAAGGUCGGCUGAGGGCACCUGCCUGAGGGGUCCAAGGAACUCACACCUGAGGGCACUGAUCGGCUGACUCUAGCGCUUCUCUUUCCCGCCUAAGGAACCCGUUCAAGGAUCCAAAGAAGUGGUUUUCACUCUAGUUUCAGAGGCUGAAGAGCUGCCUCCGGGUCGUAUUAACUGUACAUGUUUCUCCCACAUGUUGGACCCGUGAGCCCCCCCAGCCCCCAUCUCCAAAUUUUAA